GGCGAACUGGUGAGUAACACGUGGGAAAUCUGCCCAGAAGCAGGGGAUAACACUUGGAAACAGGUGCUAAUACCGUAUAACAACAAAAUCCGCAUGGAUUUUGUUUGAAAGGUGGCUUCGGCUAUCACUUCUGGAUGAUCCCGCGGCGUAUUAGUUAGUUGGUGAGGUAAAGGCCCACCAAGACGAUGAUACGUAGCCGACCUGAGAGGGUAAUCGGCCACAUUGGGACUGAGACACGGCCCAAACUCCUACGGGAGGCAGCAGUAGGGAAUCUUCCACAAUGGACGAAAGUCUGAUGGAGCAAUGCCGCGUGAGUGAAGAAGGGUUUCGGCUCGUAAAACUCUGUUGUUAAAGAAGAACACCUUUGAGAGUAACUGUUCAAGGGUUGACGGUAUUUAACCAGAAAGCCACGGCUAACUACGUGCCAGCAGCCGCGGUAAUACGUAGGUGGCAAGCGUUGUCCGGAUUUAUUGGGCGUAAAGCGAG
rnacentral:rRNA from 2 species